UACGAAGGGGGCUAGCGUUGUUCGGAAUUACUGGGCGUAAAGCGCGCGCAGGCGGUUCUUCAAGUCAGUGGUGAAAGCCCGGAGCUCAACUCCCGGAACUGCCAUUGAAACUGUGGAACUUGAGGAUGAGAGAGGUGAGUGGAAUUCCCAGUGUAGAGGUGAAAUUCGUAGAUAUUGGGAAAGAACACCGGUGGCGAAGGCGGC
rnacentral:rRNA from 1 species